UUUAAUGGCCGCAGUAAUUUGACUGUGCAAAGGUAGCAUAAUCACUAGUUUUUUAAUUAAAAGCUUGAAUGAAUGAUUGGACGAAAUAAGAUCUGUCUUUAAUUAAAAUAUAGAAUUUAAUUUUUAAGUAAAAAAGCUUAAAUAUAAAUAAAAGACGAGAAGACCCUAUAGAUCUUUAUAUAAUGGAAUAUAUUUUUAGUUAAGAUUAUUUAAUAAAUUAUAUUCAAUUAUAUUUUAUUGGGGUAAUAAAAAGAUUAAUGAAAUUCUUUAUUCAUUUUACAUUUAUUUAUGAAUAAGUGAUCCUUUUUUAUGGAUUUAAGAUUAAGUUACCUUAGGGAUAACAGCGUAAUUUUUUUUGAGAGUUCAUAUCGAUAAAAAAGUUUGCGACCUCGAUGUUGGAUUAAAAAUUUAUUUUAGGKGUAGUAGUUUAAAAUUUUGGUCUGUUCGACCAUUAAAUUUUUACAUGAUCUGAGUUCAGACCGGUGUAAGCCAGGUCGGUUUCUAUCUUUAUUAAAAUAAAAUAUUUUAGUACGAAAGGACCAAGUAUUUAAUAUAAUAAUAUUUAUUUUAAAGUUUUGAAUAUUAAAAUUAUUUUGGCAGAUUAGUGCAAUGAAUUUAGAAUUCAUAAAUGUAAUAUUAUUACAUAUAAUAUUGUUUAUUUUAGAUUUAUUAAUUCCAUUAAUUUGUUUAUUGUUAUUAGUGAUUUGUGUUCUUUUAGGGGUAGCUUUUUUAACUUUA
rnacentral:rRNA from 1 species